CUUCUGCAACCUAUCAUUCUCCUCCAUCAAUAGCUUGUUCAUUGCAGUGAGCUUCCUGUUCACAGCUUGCAAACGGGAAGCUUCUUUCCUCUGCUUCUCCCUGCAUCUGCAAUCGGCAAAAGCACACAGGGCACCGCUUCCAAAAAUCGACGAAAGAACAGACUUUCAGCGGUUACUCUUCGAGCCUUUACCAACCAAUAUUUAAUAAAGCAAUGAGGACACAACACCCUUCAACUACAAGAAAGAAGAAAAACAACGGAACUUCGUGAACUGACACAAGCUUGCCAUGUUUUCUUGCUGCAAAAAAAGCAACUUCGCACUAUGACAGAAACCCAAAAAAGAAAGGGACAUGGACAUACCUUCUGUUCUGGAACCAGACCUUGAUUUGCUUGGGCUCAAUGUUGGAGAGAAUGGGACACUCCCUGAUCAGCUGUUGGCGACGGAGUGAACUGGGCUUCGGACACUCGUGGUAGAGCCUCUCAAGGGCCUCAACCUGCUCAGGCGUGUACCUCACAUAUUUUCCAUUGUCCAAGCUAUUGCUACUGUUGCUGUGCCCGAGUUUACCUUCCUUGCAGGAUGUUGCCAUCUCCAGAAA